rnacentral:rRNA from 1 species
GAUGAACGCUGGCGGCGUGCCUAAUACAUGCAAGUCGAGCGAACAGACGAGGAGCUUGCUCCUCUGACGUUAGCGGCGGACGGGUGAGUAACACGUGGAUAACCUACCUAUAAGACUGGGAUAACUUCGGGAAACCGGGGCUAAUACCGGAUAAUAUAUUGAACCGCAUGGUUCAAUAGUGAAAGACGGAUUUGCUGUCACUUAUAGAUGGAUCCGCGCCGCAUUAGCUAGUUGGUAAGGUAACGGCUUACCAAGGCAACGAUGCGUAGCCGACCUGAGAGGGUGAUCGGCCACACUGGAACUGAGACACGGUCCAGACUCCUACGGGAGGCAGCAGUAGGGAAUCUUCCGCAAUGGGCGAAAGCCUGACGGAGCAACGCCGCGUGAGUGAUGAAGGUCUUCGGAUCGUAAAACUCUGUUAUUAGGGAAGAACAAAUGUGUAAGUAACUAUGCACGUCUUGACGGUACCUAAUCAGAAAGCCACGGCUAACUACGUG